rnacentral:tRNA from 1 species
GCCUGGGUGGCUCAGUUGGUUAAGUGACAGAUUUAGGCUCAGGUCAUGAUCUUGUGACCUGUGGGUUCAAGCCCCACAUCAGGCU